rnacentral:rRNA from 1 species
UGGGGAAUUUUGGACAAUGGGCGCAAGCCUGAUCCAGCAAUGCCGCGUGUGUGAAGAAGGCCUUCGGGUUGUAAAGCACUUUUGUCCGGAAAGAAAACCUCGGUCCUAAUACGGCGGGGGGAUGACGGUACCGGAAGAAUAAGCACCGGCUAACUACGUGCCAGCAGCCGCGGUAAUACGUAGGGUGCGAGCGUUAAUCGGAAUUACUGGGCGUAAAGCGUGCGCAGGCGGUUCGUUAAGACAGAUGUGAAAUCCCCGGGCUUAACCUGGGAACUGCAUUUGUGACUGGCGGGCUAGAGUAUGGCAGAGGGGGGUAGAAUUCCACGUGUAGCAGUGAAAUGCGUAGAGAUGUGGAGGAAUACCGAUGGCGAAGGCAGCCCCCUGGGCCAAUACUGACGCUCAUGCACGAAAGCGUGGGGAGCAAACAGGAUUAGAUACCCUGGUAGUCCACGCCCUAAACGAUGUCAACUAGUUGUCGGGUCUUCAUUGACUUGGUAACGUAGCUAACGCGUGAAGUUGACCGCCUGGGGAGUACGGUCGCAAGAUUA